GACGAACGCUGGCGGCGUGCCUAACACAUGCAAGUCGAGCGGAGUAGUAGCAAUACUACUUAGCGGCGGACGGGUGAGUAACACGUGGGUAACCUGCCCUAUAGAGGGGGAUAGCCAACCGAAAGGUUGAUUAAUACCGCAUAACCCAAGAAUAUCGCAUGAUAGUCUUGGCAAAGGAGUAAUCCGCUAUAGGAUGGACCCGCGGCCCAUUAGCUAGUUGGUGAGAUAACAGCCCACCAAGGCGACGAUGGGUAGCCGACCUGAGAGGGUGAUCGGCCACAUUGGAACUGAGACACGGUCCAGACUCCUACGGGAGGCAGCAGUGGGGAAUAUUGCGCAAUGGGGGAAACCCUGACGCAGCAACGCCGCGUGAGUGAAGAAGGCCUUCGGGUUGUAAAGCUCUGUCUUUAGGGAAGAAAAAUGACGGUACCUAAGGAGGAAGCCACGGCUAACUACUUGCCAGCAGCCGCGGUAAACGUAGGUGGCGAGCGUUGUCCGGAAUUACUGGGCGUAAAAGGUGCGUAGGCGGAUCUUUAAGUGGGAUGUGAAAUCCCGGGGCUCAACCCCGGAAUGGCAUUCCAAACUGGGGAUCUAGAGUGCAGGAGAGGAAAGCGGAAUUCCUAGUGUAGCGGUGAAAUGCGUAGAUAUUAGGAAGAACACCAGUGGCGAAGGCGGCUUUCUGGACUGUAACUGACGCUGAGGCACGAAAGUGUGGGGAGCAAACAGGAUUAGAUACCCUGGUAGUCCACGCUGUAAACGAUGAGUGCUAGGUCUAGGGGGUAUCGACACCCUCUGUGCCGCAGUAAACGCAAUAAGCACUCCGCCUGGGGAGUACGGUCGCAAGACUAAAACUCAAAGGAAUUGACGGGGGCCCGCACAAGCAGCGGAGCAUGUGGUUUAAUUCGAAGCAACGCGAAGAACCUUACCAGGGCUUGACAUCGUCUGAAUAUCUUAGAGAUAAGAGAAACCCUUCGGGGCAGAUAGACAGGUGGUGCAUGGUUGUCGUCAGCUCGUGUCGUGAGAUGUUGGGUUAAGUCCCGCAACGAGCGCAACCCUUGUCAUUAGUUGCUAACAUGUAAUGGUGAGCACUCUAAUGAGACUGCCGGGGACAACUCGGAGGAAGGUGGGGAUGACGUCAAAUCAUCAUGCCCCUUAUGUCCUGGGCUACACACGUGCUACAAUGGCUGUAACAAUGAGAUGCGAAGCCGCAAGGUGGAGCGAAUCUAUUAAAAACAGUCCCAGUUCGGAUUGAGGGCUGCAACCCGCCCUCAUGAAGCCGGAGUUGCUAGUAAUCGCGAAUCAGUAUG
rnacentral:rRNA from 1 species